CACGCCCUAAACGAUGAUUACUCGAUGUGUGCGAUACACUGUACGCGUCUGAGCGAAAGCAUUAAGUAAUCCACCUGGGAAGUACGACCGCAAGGUUGAAACUCAAAGGAAUUGACGGGGGCCCGCACAAGCGGAGGAGCAUGUGGUUUAAUUCGAUGAUACGCGAGGAACCUUACCAGGGCUUGAAAGUUAGUGAAUGAUGUGGAAACAUGUCAGCCAGCAAUGGCACGAAACUAGGUGC
rnacentral:rRNA from 1 species